rnacentral:rRNA from 1 species
UUGAUGUGGGGGAUAACCAUUGGAAACGAUGGCUAAUACCGCAUAAUGCCUACGGGCCAAAGAGGGGGACCUUCGGGCCUCUCGCGUCAAGAUAUGCCUAGGUGGGAUUAGCUAGUUGGUGAGGUAAUGGCUCACCAAGGCGACGAUCCCUAGCUGGUCUGAGAGGAUGAUCAGCCACACUGGAACUGAGACACGGUCCAGACUCCUACGGGAGGCAGCAGUGGGGAAUAUUGCACAAUGGGCGAAAGCCUGAUGCAGCCAUGCCGCGUGUAUGAAGAAGGCCUUCGGGUUGUAAAGUACUUUCAGUUGUGAGGAAGGG